UACAGAGGGGGCGAGCGUUGUUCGGAAUUACUGGGCGUAAAGGGCGCGUAGGCGGCCAACUAAGUCAGACGUGAAAUCCCUCGGCUCAACCGGGGAACUGCGUCUGAUACUGGAUGGCUUGAAUUCGGGAGAGGGAUGCGGAAUUCCAGGUGUAGCGGUGAAAUGCGUAGAUAUCUGGAGGAACACCCGUGGCGAAGGCGGCUCUCUGGGACGGUACUGACGCUGAGACGCGAAAGCGUGGGGAGCGAACAGG
rnacentral:rRNA from 1 species